rnacentral:rRNA from 1 species
UGGGGAAUUUUGGACAAUGGGCGAAAGCCUGAUCCAGCAAUGCCGCGUGUGUGAAGAAGGCCUUCGGGUUGUAAAGCACUUUUGUCCGGAAAGAAAUCCUUGGCUCUAAUACAGUCGGGGGGAUGACGGUACCGGAAGAAUAAGCACCGGCUAACUACGUGCCAGCAGCCGCGGUAAUACGUAGGGUGCAAGCGUUAAUCGGAAUUACUGGGCGUAAAGCGUGCGCAGGCGGUUUGCUAAGACCGAUGUGAAAUCCCCGGGCUCAACCUGGGGAACUGCAUUGGUGACUGGCAGGCUAGAGUAUGGCAGAGGGGGGUAGAAUUCCACGUGUAGCAGUGAAAUGCGUAGAGAUGUGGAGGAAUACCGAUGGCGAAGGCAGCCCCCUGGGCCAAUACUGACGCUCAUGCACGAAAGCGUGGGGAGCAAACAGGAUUAGAUACCCUGGUAGUCCACGCCCUAAACGAUGUCAACUAGUUGUUGGGGAUUCAUUUCCUUAGUAACGUAGCUAACGCGUGAAGUUGACCGCCUGGGGAGUACGGUCGCAAGAUUAAAACUCAAAGGAAUUGACGGGGUCAUAGCUG